rnacentral:rRNA from 1 species
UGGGGAAUAUUGCACAAUGGAGGGAACUCUGAUGCAGCGACGCCGCGUGAACGAAGAAGGCUUUCGAGGCGUAAAGUUCUUUUAUAUGGGAAGAUAAUGACGGUACCAUAAGAAAAAGCCCCGGCUAACUACGUGCCAGCAGCCGCGGUAAUACGUAGGGGGCUAGCGUUGUCCGGAAUCACUGGGCGUAAAGGGUUCGCAGGCGGAAAUGCAAGUCAGGUGUAAAAGGCAGUAGCUUAACUACUGAAAGCAUUUGAAACUGCAAAUCUUGAGUAGAGUAGAGGUAAGUGGAAUUUUUAGUGUAGCGGUGAAAUGCGUAGAUAUGAAAAAGAAUACCGGUGGCGAAGGCGACUUACUGGGCUCAUUCUGACGCUGAGUAACGAAAGCGUGGGUAGCAAACAGG